rnacentral:rRNA from 1 species
GACGAACGCUGGCGGCGUGCAUAACACAUGCAAGUCACGGGGGCCCGCAAGGGUAACCGGCGAACGGGUGCGUAACACGUGAGCAAUCUGCCGUCGUGUGGGGCAUAGCCGGCCUAACGGCCGGGUAAUUCCGCAUACGUUCUCGGAGAGGCAUUUCUCUGAGAGGAAACCCGCAAGGGGCACGACGAGGAGCUCGCGGCCUAUCAGCUAGUUGGCGAGGUAACGGCUCACCAAGGCGACGACGGGUAGCUGGUCUGAGAGGAUGACCAGCCACAUUGGGACUGAGAUACGGCCCAGACUCCUACGGGAGGCAGCAGUGGGGAAUAUUGCGCAAUGGCCUAACGGCUGACGCAGCGACGCCGCGUGCGGGAUGACGCUUUUCGGAGUGUAAACCGCUGUUGCCCGGGACGAAUAGCGAAAUUUUUCGACUUGACGGUACCGGGUGAGGAAGCACCGGCUAACUCCGUGCCAGCAGCCGCGGUAAUACGGGGGGUGCGAGCGUUGUCCGGAAUCACUGGGCGUAAAGGGCGCGUAGGUGGUCUUGUAAGUCUGUGGUGAAAGCCCGGGGCUCAACCCCGGGUCGGCCGUGGAUACUGUGAGACUGGAGCACUGUAGAGGCAGGUAGAACGUCGGGUGUAGCGGUGGAAUGCGUAGAGAUCCGACAGAAGACCGGUGGCGAAGGCGGCCUGCUGGGCAGUGACUGACACUGAGGCGCGACAGCGUGGGGAGCAAACAGGAUUAGAUACCCUGGUAGUCCACGCCGUAAACGAUGGGUACUAGAUGCUUCCGGGAGCGACCCCGGGAGUGUCGGCGCUAACGCAGGAAGUACCCCGCCUGGGGAGUACGGCCGCAAGGCUGAAACUCAAAGGAAUUGACGGGGGCCCGCACAAGCGGUGGAGCAUGUGGUUUAAUUCGACGCAACGCGAAGAACCUUACCCAGGCUUGACAUGCAGGAGAAGUUCGGCUGAAAGGCUGGGCGCGCUUCGGCGCUCCUGCACAGGUGCUGCAUGGCUGUCGUCAGCUCGU